rnacentral:rRNA from 1 species
AGUGAACGCUGGCGGUAGGCCUAACACAUGCAAGUCGAACGGCAGCACAGUAAGAGCUUGCUCUUACGGGUGGCGAGUGGCGGACGGGUGAGGAAUACAUCGGAAUCUACUUUUUCGUGGGGGAUAACGUAGGGAAACUUACGCUAAUACCGCAUACGGCCUACGGGUGAAAGCAGGGGAUCUUCGGACCUUGCUCGAUUGAAUGAGCCGAUGUCGGAUUAGCUAGUUGGCGGGGUAAAGGCCCACCAAGGCGACGAUCCGUAGCUGGUCUGAGAGGAUGAUCAGCCACACUGGAACUGAGACACGGUCCAGACUCCUACGGGAGGCAGCAGUGGGGAAUAUUGGACAAUGGGCGCAAGCCUGAUCCAGCCAUACCGCGUGGGUGAAGAAGGCCUUCGGGUUGUAAAGCCCUUUUGUUGGGAAAGAAAAGCAGCAGGUUAAUACCCCGCUGUUCUGACGGUACCCAAAGAAUAAGCAACGGCUAACUUCGUG